rnacentral:rRNA from 1 species
GACGUAGGGGGCCAGCGUUGUUCGGAAUUACUGGGUGUAAAGGGUUCGUAGGCGGUGUGGCAAGUCGGGAGUGAAAUUUCUGGGCUCAACUCAGAGACUGCUUCCGAAACUGCUGUGCUGGAGUGAGGGAGAGGCGCGUGGAAUUGCAGGUGUAGCGGUGAAAUGCGUAGAUAUCUGCAGGAACACCCGUGGCGAAAGCGGCGCGCUGGACCACUACUGACGCUGAGGAACGAAAGCUAGGGGAGCAAACAGG